rnacentral:tRNA from 1 species
GCCCCGGUAGCUCAGUCCGGACAGAGCGGCCGCCUCCUAAGCGGCAGGUCGGAGGUUCAAAUCCUCUCCGGGGCGCCA